rfam:Triticum aestivum genome assembly, contig: Triticum_aestivum_CS42_TGACv1_scaffold_272299_3DS
GGUCCUGUAGCUCAACUGGUUAGAGUGUUGGUCUGAUAUGCCAAAGGUCAUGGGUUCAAGCCCCCAUCGGGACCA